ACUAAGUCAAUUUUAAUCAAUAUAUUUCAGUCAAAUUGCCAUUCCUCCUUAAAAAAUUAGAAAGUUGUGAAAUAUUUUUAAAGUUUUUUUUGAACAGAAAUACUAUGUAUUUAUUUUUGACAGUGCAUGUAUUUGUAGAAUAUUUCAGAAGUCUUAUUCUCCAAAUUGAUAACAUUUUAAUGGAAAUCAAAGGAAUAUAUUGAGUUGUAGAGAACCGUAGAUACACCAAAUGUAUGUGUGUAUUGAAAUGAAAUGUCUUAUUAUUGUGCAGCAUAAACCUUUGAAAUUUUGUUCAUCGGUUGUAUACUAUUGAAAGGAGUCUACUUACAUCCAUAUAAAGUGUAUCUAUUGUUUUGCAAAGAAUAUUUUUAUCACAAAAAGUAAAUGAUGUCUCAGAUUAUUUAAAGAUGAUGUAUAAAUACAUGUAAGUUGUAAUUAAUACAUAAAGAAUAAAGAAUAGCCAUUAUGUUAUGCAAAGAACACAUAUAGGUAUGUAUACAAAUGUAUUCAUUUUUCAUGUCAUGAUAAAGGAGCCUGCAACCUUUGAUGUAUAAUAUACAUGCACUAGACAUUCCUUAUGGUUGUGUUUUUAUAUAUUAAUGAACAAAUUCCAUGUUGCUCUAUCAGCAUGUAACUCUUUCAUUCCUUUGUAUGUUAUUCAAUUCUGUUGCAAGGUUUCUCUACCAAAUCAGUUUAUUGGAAUGGAUUUUAACCCAUUGUUGAGAAUGUUACCUCACAUAAUUAGCUUCACAGAAAUGCUAUUCAAUAUUAAUAUGGUGCUAUAUGUAUAGAUUUGUAACAAUGGAAUAAAGAGGGGGGACAACGUACUAAGUUGGUCCUCCAUUCAUGUGUACAUACAUUAUAUAUAUUAUUAUUAUAUUUACUCCAUGUAAAUGUAUCUUCUAAAAAGGAAUAUUUUUACCUGAUAUUAAAGAUGAAUGUGAU
rnacentral:sRNA from 1 species